rnacentral:lncRNA from 1 species
AAAGACAAAGCUAAUAUGCAGCACAGGUACAUGGAGAUCUUUUUAAAUGCUGUAGGAACAAGUAGGGGGGUUUAUGAACACACCUAUGUAGAACUUUUCUUGAAUCUACAGCAGGGGCAAGUGGUGGUGCUUAUGGUAGGCAAAUGAUGGGAGAGAUGGGCUUACCCAACCAGUCUAGUUAUGCAGCUGAGUGGUGGUUGUGGAGGUGGUUAUGGUGGUCUGAGCAGUGUGAGUGGUGGUUAUGGAGGUGGUUAGGGUGAUCAGAGCAGUGUGAGUGGUGGUUAUGGAGGUGGUUAUGGAGGUCAGAGCAGCUGAGUGGUGGUUAUGGAGGUGGUUAGGGUGAUCAGAGCAGUGUGAGUGGUGGUUAUGGAGGUGGUUAUGGUGAUCAGAGCAGUGUGAGUGGUGGUUAUGGAGGUGGUUAGGGUGAUCAGAGCAAUGUGAGUGGUGGUUAUGGAGGUGGUUAUGGUGAUCAAGCAAUGUGAGUGUUGGUUAUGGAGGUGGUUAGGGUGAUCAGAGCAAUGUGAGUGGUGGUUAUGGAGGUGGUUAUGGUGAUCAGAGCAAUGUGAGUGGUGGUUAUGGAGGUGGUUAGGGUGAUCAGAGCAAUGUGAGUGGUGGUUAUGGAGGUGGUUAUGGUGAUCAGAGCAAUGUGAGUGGUGGUUAUGGAGGUGGUUAUGGAGGUCAGAGCAGUGUGACUGUUGGUUAUGGAGGUGGUUAUGGUGGUUAGACCAGCUGAGUGUUGGUUAUGGAGGUGGUUAUGGUGAUCAGAGCAGUGUGAGUGGUGGUUGUGGAGGUGGUUAUGGUGAUCAGAGCAAUGUGAGUGGUGGUUAUGGAGGUGGUUACGGUGAUCAGAGCAAUGUGAGUGGUGGUUGUGGAGGCGGUUAUGGAGGUCAGAGCAGCUGAGUGGUGGUUAUAGAGGUCAGAGCAGUAUGAGUGGUGGUUAUGGUGGUCAGAGCAGUGUGACUGGUGGUUAUGGAGGUGGUUAGGGUGAUCAGAGCAGUAUGAGGGGAUAUGACCACGUUCUGGAGGAAAACUCCAGUGACUGUCAGUCAAACCUUGGUUAGGUAGAGAAGGAGCACUAAAGAGCUACUCCAGAUAUAAAAGCAGUGCAUUUAUGGGAGUUGAAUAGAAUGGGAGGGAUGUCUAGUAUAUCCAGUAUAAUGGGUAAAUGGGAAAUAUAAUUUAUUCUGAUCACUCUUGGUCAGCUUCUCUGUCGUCUUUCUUUCUCCUCUUUUUUUGAGACAGAGUCUAACUCUGUCGCCAGGUUGGAGUGCAGUGCCACGAUCUUGGCUCACUGCAACUUUGCCUCCCAGGUUCAAGUGAUUUCUCCUGCCUCAGCCUCCCAGUAGCUGGGACUAUAGGCAUGUGCC